rnacentral:misc_RNA from 1 species
GCUGCAACUCCCAACAUUUACACCCAAAAAUUCCCAACAAUUACAACUCAGAAUUACAUAGCCUCCAACAAUGUAACUUGUUUUAUAGAUUUUCGAAAACAGAGCAGAAAAUUGGCGUUAAUAGUUGGAAACUCCAGUAGCAGCGACACAGCCUCAGCGAUAGACACAGAUGAAACCUCACCCGUUGAAAUUCCCCCUUCUAUUAUCUCUGCUCUUAAUGUUGAAAAAGCUCUUCUUGGCAUAG